UACGGAGGGUGCGAGCGUUGUCCGGAAUCACUGGGCGUAAAGGGCGCGUAGGCGGCUGGGGAAGUCGGUGGUGAAAGCUCGUGGCUCAACUACGAGUCGGCCAACAAUACUCCUCGGCUCGAGCACUGUAGAGGCAGGUGGAAUUCCGGGUGUAGCGGUGGAAUGCGUAGAGAUCCGGAAGAACAUCGGUGGCGAAGGCGGCCUGCUGGGCAGUAGCUGACGCUGAGGCGCGACAGCGUGGGGAGCAAACAGG
rnacentral:rRNA from 1 species